ACCGUGACAAGGGAACUCUGAGUGCCCGUUAAAUCGGGCUGUCCAUCGGUUUAAAUAACCGGUGAAGAAAGGGCCGGGCAAGACCGGUGCCAGCCGCCGCGGUAAUACCGGCGGCUCGAGUGGUGGCCACUAUUACUGGGCUUAAAGCGUUCGUAGCUGGUUUGUUAAGUCUCUGGGGAAAUCUUCCGGCUUAACCGGAAGGCGUCUCAGGGAUACUGGCAGACUAGGGACCGGGAGAGGUGAGAGGUACUCCAGGGGUAGGAGUGAAAUCCUGUAAUCCUUGGGGGACCACCUGUGGCGAAGGCGUCUCACCAGAACGGCUCCGACAGUGAGGGACGAAAGCUGGGGGAGCAAACCGGAUUAGAUACCCGGGUAGUCCCAGCUGUAAACGAUGCGCGUUAGGUGUAUCGGUGACCACGAGUCACCGAGGUGCCGAAGAGAAAUCGUGAAACGUGCCGCCUGGGAAGUACGGUCGCAAGGCUGAAACUUAAAGGAAUUGGCGGGGGAGCAC
rnacentral:rRNA from 1 species